rnacentral:lncRNA from 1 species
UGUCUUAAGUAGUGCUCUUUUCCUUCAUAUUAUUAUAAUCGCUCUUGUUUGAGAUUGUAUUAAUAUAAAUGCCAUUAAUGUCCUCGUGUAAGAAUGUCUUGAUUUUUGUGUAUGCCUUUAAAUGAGCUAUUUCUGUCAUUGUUGGUGUAUUUCUCCCAUUGCUUGAUAAUGAUCAGUGGGGGUGAGAGCAUUUCAUAGCAGUGCCUCUUCUGUCCACUAGGGAGCAGUCACACACCCCAGGUCUCUCCUCAUUCUCUUUUUUUUCCUCUCUAGAGAUUUUAUAACUGACGUUGAUCUGGCCAUUAGCAGUCACUCUGGAGUAAACAGUUUAGAGGCAGGUUGUCUGAUCCUACAGGACAAUAUGAUGACUUUAGACAAAACCCUGUUUUUGCACUCUGAAGUCUUACGAUGUGUCCCUUCCUGUCUGUGACCUGUGUGAUCUGAUGUAGAGAUCCUAGUGGCUGACACGGACGGCACAGUGUUCCUAUUGGCUAUCACAGACCCCACAGUGUUCCUAUUGGCUAUCACAGACCACACAGUGUUCUUAUUGGCUAUCACAGACCACACAGUGUUCUUAUUGGCUAUCACAGACCACACAGAGUUUCUAUUGACUAUCACAGACCACACAGUGUUCCUAUUGGCUACCACAGACCACACAGUGUUCUUAUUGGCUAUCGCAGACCACACAGUGUUCCUAUUGGCUACCACAGACCACACAGUGUUCCUAUAGGCUACCACAGACCACUCCUAAAGACAUCUCUCCUAGAGACAUCUCUCCUAGACAUCUCUCCUAGACAACUCUCCUAAAGACAACUCUCCUAAAGACAUCUCUCCUAAAGACAUAUCUCCUAGACAUAUCUCUUGAAGACAUCUCUCCUAGACAUCUCUCCUAAAGACAUCUCUC